rnacentral:rRNA from 1 species
UACCUACGGGGGGCAGCAGUGGGGAAUAUUGCACAAUGGGGGAAACCCUGAUGCAGCGACGCCGCGUGAGCGAUGAAGUAUUUCGGUAUGUAAAGCUCUAUCAGUAGGGAAGAAAAUGACGGUACCUGACUAAGAAGCCCCGGCUAACUACGUGCCAGCAGCCGCGGUAAUACGUAGGGGGCAAGCGUUAUCCGGAUUUACUGGGUGUAAAGGGCGUGCAGCCGGAGAGACAAGUCAGAUGUGAAAUCCACGGGCUCAACCCGUGAACUGCAUUUGAAACUGUUUCCCUUGAGUGUCGGAGAGGG